GAUGAACGCUGGCGGCGUGCCUAAUACAUGCAAGUCGAGCGAACGGACGAGAAGCUUGCUUCUCUGAUGUUAGCGGCGGACGGGGGAGUAACACGUGGAUAACCUACCUAUAAGACUGGGAUAACUUCGGGAAACCGUAGCUAAUACCGGAUAAUAUUUUGAACCGCAUGGUUCAAAAGUGAAAGACGGUCUUGCUGUAACUUAUAGAUGGAUCCGCGCUGCAUUAGCUAGUUGGUAAGGUAACGGCUUACCAAGGCAACGAUGCAUAGCCGACCUGAGAGGGUGAUCGGCCACACUGGAACUGAGACACGGUCCAGACUCCUACGGGAGGCAGCAGUAGGGAAUCUUCCGCAAUGGGCGAAAGCCUGACGGAGCAACGCCGCGUGAGUGAUGAAGGUCUUCGGAUCGUAAAACUCUGUUAUUAGGGAAGAACAUAUGUGUAAGUAACUGUGCACAUCUUGACGGUACCUAAUCAGAAAGCCACGGCUAACUACGUG
rnacentral:rRNA from 1 species